CACGUAGGGCGCAAGCGUUGUCCGGAAUUAUUGGGCGUAAAGAGCUCGUAGGCGGUCUGUUGCGUCCGCUGUGAAAACUCGGGGCUUAACCCCGAGCCUGCAGUGGAUACGGGCAGACUAGAGGUAGGUAGGGGAGAAUGGAAUUCCCGGUGUAGCGGUGAAAUGCGCAGAUAUCGGGAGGAACACCGGUGGCGAAGGCGGCCCCCUGGGCCGUACCUGACGCUGAGGCGCGAAGGCUAGGGGAGCGAACGGG
rnacentral:rRNA from 1 species